UGCAAGAGAGUGGACAAUAUAUAGAGAGAUAUAUAGAACGUCAAACGUCACGAGUUAAAAUUUCCCAAGAUUCAGUUAUCUUUUUCCCGCCAAACGUCAAGAUUAAGUUAUACUUCACGGCCGAGUUACUUUAACAUUUACGGCUGACUUAGUAAUUGAGGUUUAGGGUUUAGGGUUGCUUAGUUAGGGUUUAGGUCUGAUUUUUUGGGGAUUUAGGUUUAGGAUUUGGAUUUAUGGUGAAAGAAAUAUAACAAAUAACACAAAUUCAUGAUAAAUAAUACAAUAAUAAAUUACGAGUUUUAAAUAUUGCUCACACCUUA
rnacentral:lncRNA from 1 species